rnacentral:lncRNA from 1 species
CCAAGAUUCACGCCAUUUGAUUCAUUCAUUGAAUAUUCAUCUGGCCCGUUACAAUUGUGUGUGGGCAAAUUGUGGAAGAUUCUACAAGAUUUAAAUAUAGCCAAACCAGUGAACUACAAUCAGCUUUGGGUUUUGAUCGAGUCUAUUAUGUCUCUUGAACAAUUUAUUUGAGACCUUGGUUCCUUACUCACAUGCAUAACUUUACAACUGUCAUUGAUAAAACCAUUUAAAAACCAAAAGUUCACUAAUGGUUUGUUUGGUAGGCAAGAACUUGAAGCGAGAGAGAGACCGAAGAGAGAGAUAGCAGAGAAAGAUCUUAUUUCUCUAGUUUGGAGCCCGAGAGAAGUGCUGAAGAGAAACCAAAACCUGUAGGCCCCACUCACUUUUUGAAUCACCUCAUAUGUGCGAGGAAAGGAAGAUAUCAUGUUUAUUUCCAUUAUUACCCACCUAUCUCUCAUACUCUGCUCUUAUAUUAUAUAUGGGCUUGUCACGUUCAAAAAUAAUAAUUUGGCAGAUGCUUUAAAUAAAAACAAAAUAAAUAAUUCAAAAGAUCUAUUUAUUUUAAAUACUACUACUAAUUUCAUUCGUAAAAUAAAAAAUCAGUAACAAUUUGAAUUAAUAUUAAUGAAUACAAUUCAAUGCAUAUGCUUUCC